rnacentral:rRNA from 1 species
AAUGAACGCUGGCGGCGUGGAUUAGGCAUGCAAGUCGAACGCGAAAGCGGGGGCAACUCCGCGAGUAGAGUGGCGCAAGGGUGAGUAAUGCUUGGAUGACCUGCCUUCGAGACGGGGACAACAGUUCGAAAGGACUGCUAAUACCCGAUGGCCCUUUCCGGAUGCGUCCGGAACGGUAAAUGGUUGAUUCCGCUCGAUGAGGGGUCCAAGUCCUAUCAGCUAGUUGGUGAGGUGACGGCUCACCAAGGCGAUGACGGGUAGCCGGACUGAGAGGUCGACCGGCCACAUGGGAACUGAGACACUGUCCUGACUCCUACGGGAGGCUGCAGUCGAGAAUCUUCUGCAAUGGGCGCAAGCCUGACAGAGCGACGCCGCGUGGAGGACGAAGGCCCUCGGGUUGUAAACUCCUGUCGCACGUUAUGAACCGCACGGGUCCACCCGUGCCUGACAAAAGCGUGAGAGGAAGUCACGGCUAACUUCGUGC